GUAAUCCACCAGCAUCUCUAUCCUUCUUCCCCUCUACUUUUGAUCUGUCUUCAUGCUCAUCUAACAGAGGACCAGGGAGUGGCGGCAGUGGCCAGGCCUAGUGGUGACGGGACGAUGAAGUGGUCGGAGGCGCUGCAUCGGCGGCCAGUUGGUCUGCAAUGACGGCAAGAUGGCGGAGAUCGUGCACCAGCUGUGCCAAAGCAAUGGUUCCUUUUGGACUGUUAUAAUAUGGAGCAAGUUGUGUGGAGAUUUAAAUUGAAGCACAAAGCACAGCUUUGUUCCUUGAUCAACCAAUCAGUAUCUUCCUUUGGAAUCUUAAGUUUUGAUAUGAGAUGAGAAUAAUUUGUAAUAGCAAUUCAUGGCUUUUAUGUAAUCAGGAACGCUUGUAGGCUGAAAGUCCACUAGACAGCUUUCUGAAAUCACUUGGACUUGAGAAGUGUUCUAUUUCCUUCCAGUUAGAGUAGGUUUGACUAUUUACCUAAAUCUUUGCAUUGUUUUUUUUUCGUGUUUGGCUGACAAUUGUUGUGUUGCUGGUUGACAUGGCGGCCCUACGUCACAUGACUGAAAUUGAUCUCAAGCGUUAGGCAUCCUGAUGGUACAACGAUGUAGGGUCUCUUCCUCCUCACCCGCAGGCCCCGUGCCGCCGCCCUCCAUACCCCCGUCCGGCGACCUGGGCGUCUGACCGACGCCUCGCCGCUCAUUGCCGCAGCAUGCACUGAAAGGUUGUUUCACAUCAGAUCCGGAUGCUUUUAUUUUUGGGGCAAGGACAGUUUACAGAGAUGUUUUUUUAGGAUGGGAUGGUGUUCUACCCCUCCGUGUCCUCAAAAUGUGCCAAUGGAUGACAUUCUCCAGAUUAACAAGUUCAUUUGUGCUGCUGCUCUUACGAUGUCUCGGGGCAUUGGGGUGGGCAAGAUGAAGGUGCUCAGCGGUUGCUGCAAGCGCUGUGAGGCCGGGCGGUGGAGGCGUAUGCAUGGGCCACAGUUCAGGUGCCAAAUCUUGCUCAUGGAGGGAUCAUAUAUAGCCAGACACUUAUAGUAGAUGAAGCUCACCGUUCGUAUCAUGAGAAUGUGGGAACACUCUAAUAUGGAUUCUACUGUGUUACAUGGUCCAAAUUUCCUUAUGGUUGAUCACAAGGUAAAAUUCAUAACCGAACUACAAUCUCACAUCUCGUUGCAGCAGAUUAUAUGAUUCAGUCUAUGUACAACUUUUCAGGGCAACACAAUGGAAGGAACGAUCCCCACAUAUAGGAUGUGUACCUACGAAAAUGAGUUCCAAAAAGGGGUCAUAUAUACGAUUGAAAACUUUUAUGAUACGUACAGCCAGGAAAAAAAUACAGGGCAGUGGAGCAUCCGUUCGCUCAACAAACAUUAAUAUAACCAGUCGUUCCGCAACCAGAAGAUUUACCUAUGUGUGGAACGACUGGUUAUAUGAAUGUUUUCAUCUUCGGUCAGCACUUAAUAGAAGGACACCGAGAGGCACGUGCGAUGUGAUUUCCCUGUAGACAUCAUGUCUGACGGUACCUCAUUCGAGGAUGGUCUCUUUGUCGCACAGUCGAUGACACUGUGGGGCUCUGCAGGAUGUUUUCCCAUGAAAAACCGGAGACUGCGCGCUUCAUCACCGAUAAUUCGCUCCACCUUCUAAACAGCAAGUAUGCAUCUUUAUCUUUGUGCAAAAAGGUUAGGGACAAAUUUUAUUGAUUACAUGGUUUCAUGAAGAAAUCGACUUAUCUUCGUUCUCCAAAAAUAUAUGACUAACCUUACAAUACGACACUUUUUCCUAAAUAUUGGUUCCCCUAAACCCUUCUUUUGUUUUAGAUGAAUAUAUUGAGUUGUCAGUUCAUUACUCAUAACUGAUUGAUUGUUGCAUUGUCGUAUACUUUUGGUUCUACUAGAUUCUACUAAAUUUGGCCUUUGUUGUACUUGAAAAAUCAAAUAACUGAACUUGCUUUAUUUCUGUUCUCUGUAGUUGUAUAAACCCUUUAUAUGCAAAUGAACUGUCAGUUAGUUCAUUACUCACAACUGAUUGACUGUUGCUUUGUCGUAUACUUUUGGUUCUGCAAGGUUCUACUAAAUUUGGCCCUUGCUGUACUUGAAAAAUCAAAUAUCCGAACUUGCUUUAUUUCAGUUCUCUGUAGUUGUAUAAACCCUAUAUAUGCAAAUGGUGCCUAUCGGUAGGUUUUGAUUUUGCUACAUUAUGCCCUUAUAGAAACUUGAAAUAUCAAGCAACGUAACUUGCCUUAUCUCAGGUAGUUGUAUAAACUCUGUAGAUGCAUCACACUGUGUUCAUCAGUGCUAUGUUUUUUCUGGGGUUCAUUUGUGAUAUAUUUGAUGUAUAAGCACAAGAUCCAAGCUAUAAAGAGCGCAAAUUACUUCUUACCACUUUUAUAAAGGCUAAUUUACUCCAUUUAGAUUGAGGUAGUUUCAACUUAUAAACCUCUUGUGACCAAUUGGCAUAUGAUGUUAGAUAUGAGACAACAAUUGCCUCAAUGCCUCCAAUGUUUUGGGCAUUUUUUUCUUUGCAUUUUGAAUCAGAAGAUGGAGCUAAAAAGAAGCAAAUUUGUCAGACUGCCGGGUAAAAAGGGAGCUAAAUGUUAAACACUGCCAUGUAAAAAUGAACCUUUGGAUUCUGGGAUGCACUCGUUGCGCCGAUGGCGCAAAGGGCGAGAGCAAACUAUGUUUUCAAAGCAUGCAAAUAAGAAUAUUUAGAGACUGAUCAUAAAAUCCUUGAAGCAUAAGGGAAUAGAUAUUUUGGUAUGCUGCUCAUACAUAGCGUUAUAUAUUACAUUGCAUGGUAGGUUCAUAGGACAAAAGAAAGGCAUGAGAUAUGUUCAUGAUAAGCAAAGCUACAUAGGCAGAGAUGCACCAUAUAGAUAGCUUUGAUCGCUCAGCUUAUGGUAACCAGGAUAUGCAGUCAUUUACAUUAGGUAGUGCAUAAUUUAACUGUACGCCCACAAUUGCUAUUGCCAGCAAACAAGUUUUUGAUUUCUCGCACUAACAGUUCUCACGAUACUUAUACAGGGUGAAGAAUAUGAGCAUCCGGAGUAUAUCAUUCCAAGUGAGCUAAUGCCAGGCUAUAAUGCUUAUUAUCCUGUUCUGAUAUUCUUCAUUUAAAAUAAAAUGACCUCAUAGUGUUUAUGAUCUGCUAUACUUCUCCGACGCCACUUUUCCGCCUUAGAACCGAAAAAACAUAUAUCAGGCUGAUCAAUAAUGCUCAGCUUAACUAACCUGCUUACUAUAUUCUUCCUGCCAUAGGUUUAAAAGCUUAAUUCUACUUUUCUCUUGAUGAAAGCUUAGUCUCCUAACAAUAAAUAGUAUUCAGCCUUCUUACAUGUGCUGCUUCAUUUCGAUCUUACCAAAACGAAACUAAAUUCAGGGUCACCCCCUGCUAUCCAAUACUGCGGAGAACUUGAAAGGUACUGGCACUAGGGCAACCAAGUGAAGCUCUAUCAGCACCAUGUGAAGAAGUUGUUUUCCAUGUUCGGCCGCAAAAAUCCAAAUACCAAAUACUAUGUCUGCACCAUCAACAAAACAUUCGUAAAGCCAGGCCAAGGGAUGUAUUUUCAGGUCCACUACACUGAAAGCAAACUAAAAGAUUACAUUGACCCAGAUUAUGAUACACUCAAGGUCAGACUUGCAAACAGUGAUCUAUACGCCAAUUAUCGCAUCAUGCUAGGAACCGGCAAGAGAGCCACCGUAACAACCAACUGGUCUAAGUUUCGCCGCCUUGCAAAAAUCCAUGAAGGAGUUGAGAUAUCUGUGCUUUUCGUUUCAAGGUCACCACAAAGCAACGCCUGCUUCUCAUCGUGCAUUGCCUUUAGAUGAACCAUCGACAGCAACGGAAGUCAUAUCUAAAUAUCAUUUAGCAUUCUAAGGACUACUAAUCAAGCUCUGUAAUAGGAUGCAACCUUCCCCUGUUUUUUGAUGAUGCUAUCUGUUGCUUUUGAAUAGCUACCACCUAUGUUUUUACCUAUAUAACCUCUGCUGUUGUUCCUCAUCUAUCUAUUAAUAUGCAUAAUGCCAUCCUUA